rnacentral:rRNA from 1 species
GAUAAACGCUGGCGGCGUGCCUAACACAUGCAAGUCGAACGAUCCCGCAAGGGAGAGUGGCGGAAGGGUGAGUAACACGUGGAAUCUACCUCCUCGCAGGGAACAACCUCUCGAAAGAGAGGCUAAUACCCAAAGGGUCAGAAAUGAUCAGAGUCGAAAGGCGUGAGGAGAGGAGCCCGCGGCCCAUCAGCUAGUUGGUGAGGUGAUGGCUUACCAAGGCUACGACGGGUAGGGGAUCUGAGAGGAUGUCCCCCACACUGGAACUGAAACACGGUCCAGACGCCUACGGGUGGCAGCAGUGAGGAAUAUUGGACAAUGGGCGAAAGCCCGAUCCAGCAACGCCGCGUGGAGGAUGAAGGCCUUCGGGUCGUAAACUUCUUUAGAGGGAGACGAGAAAGGACGGUAUCCCUAGAAUAAGCGACGGCAAACUAACGUGCCAGCAGCCGCGG